rnacentral:rRNA from 1 species
UGGGGAAUAUUGGACAGUGGGCGCAAGCCUGAUCCAGCCAUGCCGCGUGAGUGAUGAAGGCCCUAGGGUUGUAAAGCUCUUUCAGCGAGGAGGAUAAUGACGUUACUCGCAGAAGAAGCCCCGGCUAACUUCGUGCCAGCAGCCGCGGUAAUACGAAGGGGGCUAGCGUUGUUCGGAAUCACUGGGCGUAAAGCGCACGUAGGCGGACUUUUAAGUCAGGGGUGAAAUCCCGGGGCUCAACCUCGGAACUGCCUUUGAUACUGGAAGUCUGGAGUCCGAGAGAGGUGAGUGGAACUCCGAGUGUAGAGGUGAAAUUCGUAGAUAUUCGGAAGAACACCAGUGGCGAAGGCGGCUCACUGGCUCGGUACUGACGCUGAGGUGCGAAAGCGUGGGGAGCAAAACAGGAUUAGAUACCCUGGUAGUCCACGCCGUAAACGAUGGAAGCUAGCCGUCAGGGUGCAUGCAUCUUGGUGGCGCAGUUAACGCAUUAAGCUUCCCGCCUGGGGAGUACGGUCGCAAGAUUAAAAACUCAAAGGAAUUGAC